AGGUUACUGCUAUCGGUGUUCGCCUAAGCCAUGCGAGUCAUAUGUUCGUAAGAACAUGGCGUACUGCUCAGUAACACGUGGAUAACCUGCCCUUGGGUCCGGCAUAACCCCGGGAAACUGGGGAUAAUUCCGGAUAACGCAUAUAUGCUGGAAUGCUUUAUGUGUAAAAUGGAUUCGUCUGCCCAAGGAUGGGUCUGCGGCCUAUCAGGUAGUAGUGGGUGUAAUGUACCUACUAGCCUACGACGGGUACGGGUUGUGAGAGCAAGAGCCCGGAGAUGGAUUCUGAGACAUGAAUCCAGGCCCUACGGGGCGCAGCAGGCGCGAAAACUUUACAAUGCGGGAAACCGUGAUAAGGGGACACCGAGUGCCAGCAUCCUAUGCUGGCUGUCCGGGUGAGUAAAAUACACCUGUUAGCAAGGGCCGGGCAAGACCGGUGCCAGCCGCCGCGGUAACACCGGCGGCCCGAGUGGUGAUCGUGAUUAUUGGGUCUAAAGGGUCCGUAGCCGGUUUGGUCAGUCCUCCGGGAAAUCUGACAGCUUAACUGUUAGGCUUUCGGAGGAUACUGCCAGACUUGGAACCGGGAGAGGUAAGAGGUACUACAGGGGUAGGAGUGAAAUCUUGUAAUCCCUGUGGGACCACCUGUGGCGAAGGCGUCUUACCAGAACGGGUUCGACGGUGAGGGACGAAAGCUGGGGGCACGAACCGGAUUAGAUACCCGGGUAGUCCCAGCCGUAAACGAUGCUCGCUAGGUGUCAGGCAUGGCGCGACCGUGUCUGGUGCCGCAGGGAAGCCGUGAAGCGAGCCACCUGGGAAGUACGGCCGCAAGGCUGAAACUUAA
rnacentral:rRNA from 1 species